CAGCAAGCCGGCAGCUGAGAGCUCAACAACGGCGGAGGAGGACGUGGAGGAGGGGCCGCAUCACCCACUCACGAGGGGCCUCAGCUCUGCUCUUGCAGCCACUCAAUGAGAUUCCUAGCUCCACUAUCUCCAGCACUUCAACCAAACAAUCCUUAUGCAAAACAAGGUUACCUUAAAGCAUGUCAGGAUGUUCAGUGAGCCACACACAAAGAAACUGGAAAGCAGCUACAAUCAUUGAAUGAAGGUCCCUGGACUGAAGAGGAGCUGGACGGCUACACUGAUAGACAAUGUACCCACAUAUUGAGCUGAC